AGGAGCUCAUGGUGGCUUUGCGACUGCGAUGCCGCAGGGCUGGGGAUGCAGCUGGACCAGGAGCAUGCACCCGGUCUGUCCGUCUGUGCACGGUGGUCUGAUCCAGCCUGAGUCCAUAGCCCAGGUGUAAGAGAGGUUCUUCCCACUGCAUCCCGGUUGGAGUCUCCAAGGGAAAAUAUUAUUCAUAGGUUUUAAGGCCAGGAGGGGAUAUUCUGCUCCGCUCUGACCUCCAUUAUAACACAGGCCAGGGGAUUUCACGGAGCAAUUCCUGCAGCAGGGACAAAGGGAAGCGAAUGGCUGCUGUGUUGUUAGGCCUCGUGAGAGAUGUAAAAACACUGUGAUUUCUGCUAGGGGAUGCCACAGAGAAGGAGGACCUGUGAGGCAGAAAAGCCCCAGCACUGUAUGGAGUCCAUCAGGGCAGCCUGAGGGGCUGAGAGUGAUCCAGGAGGUUCUACACUUGCCCAAGGCUGGUGGAGAGCCAUGGGAAAUCACCAUAAUGGAUUACCACCUCAUCAAACACUGAGAAACAGGAGGUGGAUUGCCCUUUGCUCCAUAGUGUGAGGUGCAUUUCCCAAGAGGACAAGAGCCGUGAUUAAAAGAACACAGGAGAAUUGCGAGGAAGACACCUUGUCCUCUGGAAGUCGGUGUCUUUUCCAAUGGAGUUGAAAUAAAUGCAGUAAACUUCCUGGAAGUGGCUGGCUAACAGCAUUGGCUCUGUGGGAAGCAACCUCAGUUCCUGAGCACACCACCAUGAUGUACUUCUAAGACACUGUUUGCUUCUCAUUACCUCUCAUCUUCAGGUCUUUUGCAUGGAAAAUCUUAAUUAACUACACUCCAGUAUCUACCAGCCCAAUGUGGAUGACUGAUACGAGCAACAGGGACCCAGAGGUAGAGGGCACUGAAGACUGGGAGGAUAUCUGUGCUGAGAAGGAAAAGAAUAGAAAAUGCCAUGGAGAAAGAAAUAAGCUACAGAUAAAGGUGACUCCCCAGAAGUGACAGAAUCAAAGACAACAUUUUAGAGCCAGCCAGAGAGGACUUUUUUCACUAGUAUCAUAGAAGGGUGAGGGCAAGUGAUAAGUAGGUAAA